AGCAUCUGAAAUGAAGUAGGACCACCCGCUGG
rnacentral:rRNA from 1 species